AUGCAAGUCGGACGGCAGCGCGGGGGCAACCCUGGCGGCGAGUGGCGAACGGGUGAGUAAUACAUCGGAACGUGUCCUGGAGUGGGGGAUAGCCCGGCGAAAGCCGGAUUAAUACCGCAUACGCUCUAUGGAGGAAAGCGGGGGAUCUUCGGACCUCGCGCUCAGGGGGCGGCCGAUGGCAGAUUAGCUAGUUGGUGGGGUAAAGGCCUACCAAGGCGACGAUCUGUAGCUGGUCUGAGAGGACGACCAGCCACACUGGGACUGAGACACGGCCCAGACUCCUACGGGAGGCAGCAGUGGGGAAUUUUGGACAAUGGGGGCAACCCUGAUCCAGCAAUGCCGCGUGUGUGAAGAAGGCCUUCGGGUUGUAAAGCACUUUUGUCCGGAAAGAAAACUUCGCUCCUAAUACGGGUGGAGGAUGACGGUACCGGAAGAAUAAGCACCGGCUAACUACGUGCCAGCAGCCGCGGUAAUACGUAGGGUGCGAGCGUUAAUCGGAAUUACUGGGCGUAAAGCGUGCGCAGGCGGUUCGCUAAGACCGAUGUGAAAUCCCCGGGCUUAACCUGGGAACUGCAUUGGUGACUG
rnacentral:rRNA from 1 species